rnacentral:rRNA from 1 species
AAGAAGCGCCGGCUAACUACGUGCCAGCAGCCGCGGUAAUACGUAGGGCGCGAGCGUUGUCCGGAAUUAUUGGGCGUAAAGAGCUCGUAGGCGGCCUGUUGCGUCCGCUGUGAAAUCCCAGGGCUUAACCCUGGUACGUGCAGUGGAUACGGGCAGGCUGGAGGCAGGCAGGGGAGAACGGAAUUCCCGGUGUAGCGGUGAAAUGCGCAGAUAUCGGGAGGAACACCGGUGGCGAAGGCGGUUCUCUGGGCCUGUUCUGACGCUGAGGAGCGAAAGCGUAGGGAGCAAACAGGAUUGGAUCCCCUGGUACCACGCCGUAAACGUUGGGCGCUAGGUGUGGGUCCCUUCCACGGGGUCUGUGCCGCAGCUAACGCAUUAAGCGCCCCGCCUGGGGWGUACGGCCGCAAGGCUAAAACUC